UAACCAAAUAUUUACGGCCAGCAUUAUUAUCGUCCUAUUAUAAUAAAUUCGAUUAAAAGCCGACAAAUUUGUAAUAUUAAUAAUUUGGUUUGCCCGCGAACGAAUAUCCAAACGUUACUGGGAUUUUAUUAAAUGCAAAUUAUUUAAAACGAUAAUAUUAUCGGCAAUCGUUAAAUGGUCGGUAUUUAUAAAAAGCGUAAACAAUUAUUCGAUAUUAAAUUUGAAAAGGCUCCGGGAACCGCCCCCGAAUUCGUUAGGACUUUCUUUAUUACCGACGACAAUUUUACCGGUUCGACGAAAUACGAAAUAAAAGAAAUAAUAAUAGGCCCGAAACCAAUCGUCGAUAUAAAAACCACUAUAUAUAUAAGGUCCCGGAUUCGCGGGUUUGAACCUCAAAUUUCCAUAUUGGAAAUUAAAACCGGUUAUUAUUUUCCGUAAAUAAAAUAAUAUAAUGGUAAAAAUAGUGGGGAUUAUAGCAGGUUUAAAUUUGUCGGUAAAAGUUUUCAAACCAGGGAGGUUAAUAUCGCCCUGGCGAAUAAGAGGCGGGAUGGUAGGUAAUCGACGUCGAAUGGCCAAAUUUUUGAAAAUUAAUAUAAUACCCCUAUCUCGGAACAUAUUGGGUAUAGAAACCAAGGUUUUUUGCCAAACGGGCAUUUUGUUGCCCGGGAUCGAUUUGCCGGGAUUACCGGCUUUAAAAUACGCCAAAAACCCGAAUACGUCCGCCAUUAAUAAAAUUUGUUAAAAAAGAGAAAUGUUAAUCGUUAUUACAAAUUAAAAAAACGUUUGAAAAAGUUAUAUUAUAAUAAUUGUUAUAAUUUGGGGUUAGAUGCAGGAAUUGUAAUUAUUAUUACAAUUUAUAAAAAAAAUGGAAAAAACAUUUACCUAAAAUAUUAAUAUAUUAUACCAGGGCAUUAAUCGAUUCGUAACCGAGGACGAUUAUAAUAUCGCUGGUAUUUAACGAAUUACUGUUAAAAUGGUAGGCCAAAAUCUGGCCGUUAAUUCGUAUUUUCGCCGCGGCGACCCCGGCUAUCGAUUAAAUGCGCUCGGAUAUUUGGGCGAUAAUUGGUAUAUCCGUAUAGCGAAAAAUAUAUUUCCAAUUCCAAACUAUGCGGGGGAUAUACCGUUAUUAUCGACGUUAAAACAAUUAACGUAACCCAAAUGGGGAAAAAUCCGAACCAUUUUGGCGAUAUUUGUAUUCCCUGCCCUGUACCAGGUUUUGGAUAUUAUUUAUAUUAAUAUUUCGCCUUUAUCCAUUUAAAAAUCUUUCCAGGACGGGGCGGGCAGGCGGUCCAAUAAAUUUAUAUCCCGGUGCGAUAGGAAAUAAUAUUUGGGUUAAAUAUAAUUUACCGGUCCGUCGUUAGGGGUAAUAUUAGGUUUGUGGUCCGGUCUGGGGACCUUUAUAAACCUAAUUUUGGCGGGGCGAACGACGGGGGCUGUGGCAGGUAUUAAUGGCGGCGGGGGAGGCGGCGGGAAAAGCGACGAAAAUUCGUGGCGCACGUUAUUUAUUAUAAUAUCGCUAUCGCCGUUGGGACGUUUAUUAACCAUAUUAUUAACGGUAUUAUUUUGGCCGGAUUUCUUAUUAUAAAUAAUAAUAAUAUUUCCCUCGGCGUUUUUAUUAUAAAUUUUUCCUAUUAUAUUUUCCUCGCCAAAUACGGGGAUAGGGGGCAAAUUAAAAGUAAUAUUUGUCGCGUUUGCGUAAUUUUAUAAUUGCUGGCGGUUUUUACGUAAUUGGUAAAACUCGAUUUUAUUAAACGGGCCGGGUCUGAAUUUUUCAAAUCUUUAUUAAAUUAUUUAAAUAUUUUGGUGCGGGCAAUUUUUUGCGGUAUAAUUAUAAAAUUGGUAGGGAGUUCCGCGUUGGGGGGUAUAUAUCCCAAAGUAAAAUUUGACGGUGCGACAGCCCUUUUGGUUUUUUUUUUAUUUUUUUUCCCAGGUAUCGCGAUUUGCGAUUACAAUUAUAAUUAUUAUUACAAUUUGGGGUUAAAUGCAGGAAUUAUAACUAUUAUUACAAUUGGGUUAAAUUAGCUGCCCGUGGUUAACCGAAUCGGGGAUAUGGUUAUAUCGCGUAUACGCUAAUAGGGACUUACCUUUUCCGCGAAUCGGAUGGUCCAAUUAAAUAAAUUCUAAUAUAAUACCUAAUAAGUAAAAUUGAAAAUUUAUAUGGUAAUUUUUCGGAUUGUGACAAUUAUUACGAUUUGUGGUCAAAUUAACCGUUCGUUUAAUCGUUAUAAUUUAACCGCAAAAAUUACAAUAUCGGAAUAAAAAUUAAUAGGAAAUUGGUAAUUAUAAAAGAAGAAAAAAGCCGUCGAGGGACAAAAAGGAGAUAUUUAUAAUUGGGUCGUAAUAUGGGGCGACCUGCAAUUUAAAUAAUAAAAUCGGUGGGGUGGUGGGUUAGGUAAAUUAUAGGCGUAACAGUUAUUAUAAUAUGCAAUAAUAAGGCGUUUUGGUUAUUUUAGGGUUUACCAUUAUAAUUAUAAGGCGGGAUUCCUGGUUAAACGUGGUUUAAUUCGUGGUUUGGAACGUUAAUUGUUCUCCGUAUAUAAAAUUUGCGACAACUGCGGUCGUUUUGGUAGGUUUAAUUGGUCGAAGCGCCAUUGGCUAACAAGGAAUAUAUAUAGGGUUCGGUUUAUCUUGCGAUAUAUUUGGGUUUAUUUUAAACGUUAAAAUGGGGUAAAUUGUCUGAAUUUAAUCCCUUAAUUUUAAAGAUUAUCGUGGUUAACCGCAGCCGCCAAAAUAUUUUAAAAAAAAUAAAAAUAUUAUUUAGGGGUGCAAUUCGUCGCUAUUAGGUUAUUUGUUAACCAGCGCCUUUGCAGCGGGUGGAACAAAUAAUCCGACGGCGACGUUAUAUAUAACCGUUGCUCCAAUUAUUCGCAAAAUACGGUAAAAGGCAAAACAAUUAUAAAAUUGCUAUCCGCAAUAUGGUCGGGCCUCCUCCCAUUUGUACCCUAUUAUCCUUCUGCUCGUUCGCGAUAUCCAUUAACCCGACAAUCGGGUAAUCUUUCGGGCGUUUCCGUGGUUGCCGGGUAUAUUAUUCCCCCAAACGUACCUUAUAUUGCGAUAUUAAAUAUUAUAUAUUACCUACCGUAAAAUCCUUUUUUACGUAUUUGUUCCAAAAAGAAAUAAUAAUGCGUUUUGGUAAUAUUUAUUACCGUAUUAAACAUUUUGGCCGCGCUACUAUUUUUUAUAUAUAUUACGGUAAAAACGGCAAAUAUAUUACUUUUUACCAAAGGUAUUGGAAUAAACGCGCGUUCCAAUUUAUAACUACCAAUUACAAUAUUUAUAUAUAAUAUAAUAGGUCGAAUGGCCCGUUAUUAUAUUUGGAUUAGUGGAAUAAAAGGGCGCAUUACGGGAUUUAAAUUAUUAUAAACAAUCCUCCUAUUGCUCCGUUUUGGAUUUUUUUUUUGGGGGAAAAUAAUAAUUAUAUAUUAACUUUCUUUAUAUAUAAUUAUAAUACCAAUAUUAUAAAAGGCCAAUGGAAAUACCUGUUGCGAUUCGCCGUAUUGCGCGUACAUUUUUUAAUAACCCAAUAUAUAUAGGGGGGACGGGGAACGGCUAAAAUUUAUACGCCCGUUUUUUUACAAAAUCGCGUUUGGUUCGACAAUUCGGUCCUCGACCUCGCGUUAUUUACGUGCGUUUUGGUGGUUAUAAUAUUUAUUAUUUGGUUCGUUAUUUUUUAUUCCGCCGUUUUGCGGCCUGGGUAUAUAUUUGGUUAUCCGGUUGCGAAAAGGCGUUUAUAUUUACGUCCCCGUAUUUUAACGCCCGUUUUUAUUAAAUAUAGGAAUUGUAAUUUCUUAGCCCGCGUUCGUGGAUUUUCGGAAAUUUAUUUAGGAAAUAAUCGCCAUAUUAUUCGAACCAUGCGCGGGAUUGUAAAACAGGAAAAUAUUCCAGCAUAUUAUUUUUCGACCAAACGCGAUUAUAAAAAUGGACAAACGUUUUGGCGAAAAUGGUAAUUUCUUUGCGUGGUAACGUUAUUUGGGAAGGUAAAUUAUAUAAUUUUCGCGGGUUUGGGAAAAAUAUAAUUGUUACAAAAUAAAUAUCCCAUUUGUCCAAUUAUUCCAAUAUAAAAGUUUUUUUGGUAUAUUUUUUCGGCGUUUUAUAUAUUUGUUUUUUCGGAGGUAAAAUGGGUAAAACCCCGAUCUUAUAAUAGUAAACGUUGCAGCAAUUUUAACGGUGGUUAAUUAUAACAAAUCGAUUCGGUUUUUAUAAAAAAUUUAAAAUGGCGCGCCGAAAAUAAAUAACGUUGGCGAAAUUAUAUAUAUUUGGUAUUUAUUCCUUCAAAUUUUUUUUAUU
rnacentral:sRNA from 1 species